UACGUAGGGUGCAAGCGUUGUCCGGAAUUAUUGGGCGUAAAGAGCUCGUAGGUGGCCUGUCGCGUCGGCUGUGAAAACUCGGGGCUCAACUCCGAGCUUGCAGUCGAUACGGGCAGGCUAGAGUUCGGCAGGGGAGACUGGAAUUCCUGGUGUAGCGGUGAAAUGCGCAGAUAUCAGGAGGAACACCGAUGGCGAAGGCGGGUCUCUGGGCCGAUACUGACACUGAGGAGCGAAAGCGUGGGGAGCGAACAGG
rnacentral:rRNA from 1 species